rnacentral:rRNA from 1 species
CGCGUAGGCGGAUAGGUGAGUGUGAUGUGAAAGCCCUGGGCUUAACCUAGGAAGUGCAUCGCAAACGACCUAACUGGAGUAUAUGAGAGGGUGGCGGAAUUUCCGGUGUAGCGGUGAAAUGCGUAGAGAUCGGAAGGAACGUCAAUGGCGAAGGCAGCCACCUGGCAUAAUACUGACGCUGAGGCGCGAAAGCGUGGGGAUCGAACAGGAUUAGAUACCCUGGUAGUCCACGCUGUAAACGAUGAAGACUAGAUGUUGGUAGGGGAACCUAUCAGUAUCGAAGCUAACGCGAUAAGUCUUCCGCCUGGGAAGUACGGCCGCAAGGUUGAA